AACAUAGCCAUUUGAUGAUAUAAUAUGGUUUGACCUGCCCAAUGUGAAAAUGAAUGGCCGCGGUACUCUGACCGUGCUAAGGUAGCGUAAUCAGUUGACUUUUAAAUGAAGUCAGGUAUGAAUGGAUAAACCGAGCCUAGCUGUCUCUUUAGUAUUAUAUUGAAUUUACUGUCUAAGUGAAAAAGCUUAGAAAGUGAAAAGGGACGAGAAGACCCUUAGAAUUUUUUUCAAUUUUCUAGAAGUGUUCGAUUUUAUUGGGGCGAUAAAGAAAUAGUUAAAACUUUCUCUAAUAAAUAAGCCGAUUAUAUUAUGCAAGAAUAAAUUACCUGAGGGAUAACAGCAUAAUUCAAUAAGUGAGUUUGUGACCUCGAUGUUGGACUAGGAAACUAGUAGGUUAGUCGUCUACUGUGUUAGGUUCUGUUCGAACUUUAAUUCCU
rnacentral:rRNA from 1 species